AGACCAUGAUAAGGACACUUUGUUAAUACUCCGUGAACCUUUCCCAAGUUUCAUAUAAGGAAUCCCCAUCUUCUUGUGAGUAUGUAUUAAUUUCAGUCAUUAAUUU
rnacentral:snoRNA from 1 species